rnacentral:rRNA from 1 species
CAGGCCGCCACGGGAACACGUAGGGUGCGAGCGUUAAUCGGAAUUACUGGGCGUAAAGCGUGCGCAGGCGGUUUUGUAAGACAGGCGUGAAAUCCCCGGGCUCAACCUGGGAAUGGCGCUUGUGACUGCAAAGCUAGAGUGCGGCAGAGGGGGAUGGAAUUCCGCGUGUAGCAGUGAAAUGCGUAGAUAUGCGGAGGAACACCGAUGGCGAAGGCAAUCCCCUGGGCCUGCACUGACGCUCAUGCACGAAAGCGUGGGGAGCAAACAGGAUUAGAUACCCGAGUAGUCCCUGUCUCUUAUU